AUCUACAGUACAGGUGAACAAAGUAUAAUUACUCACAUUACCAAUUACAUGCAUUGGAGAAACCUGUUAUAUUUCCUUUCUUUACCUAUAAGAAAUCACCACAAUUUGAACGAGGAAGAGACCCACAACCUAGCAUCAAAAUACAACAUCCAAUUCUAAAAGAACUGGGAGUAACACCAUAGAACACGACGACGUAAGAACAAAACCAAAGCAUGUCACAGAACUUGCAUGAAAAUCAUUUCCUUUUUUUGAGAUGUCAUGAAUACAACAACAACAACAACAACAACAACUACCCAGUGUAUUCCCACCAGGUGGGGUCUGGGAGGGUAAUAUGUAGACGAGCCUUACCCCUACCCGGCAGGACAGGGAGGCUGUUUCCAAUCGACCCUUGGCUCAUAGGGUUAGGUGAAAAACAGUAGAUUAUCUUUAUUCUACCCAUCUCAUUAAAUUAUUUACAAGUUUUACUGGAUAUUUAAAUACAGGGCGGGGAGGCUGUUUCCAAUCGACCCUCGGCUCAGAUGUCAUGAAUACAAAAACUAUAAAAUGUCAUGACUACAAAAACUAUCGACUAAGAAGUCGGUAUGAGGGCAAAUCCUCCAACCGUGUUAUGUCUUCUUGCAAAAGCUCCCUUUCAAUUUGUCGACGAGUGGACUUCAUAACUGUCUGCAUGAAAUAAAGCAUAUCUAAACAUCAGGAA
rnacentral:lncRNA from 1 species